rnacentral:rRNA from 1 species
CGGAGGAUCCAAGCGUUAUCCGGAAUCAUUGGGUUUAAAGGGUCCGUAGGCGGUUUGGUAAGUCAGUGGUGAAAGCCCAUCGCUCAACGGUGGAACGGCCAUUGAUACUGCCAGACUUGAAUUACUGGGAAGUAACUAGAAUAUGUAGUGUAGCGGUGAAAUGCUUAGAGAUUACAUGGAAUACCAAUUGCGAAGGCAGGUUACUACCGGUGGAUUGACGCUGAUGGACGAAAGCGUGGGUAGCGAACAGGAUUAGAUACCCUGGUAGUCCACGCCGUAAACGAUGGAUACUAGCUGUUGGUGGCAACAUCAGUGGCUAAGCGAAAGUGAUAAGUAUCCCACCUGGGGAGUACGUUCGCAAGAAUG